ensembl:snRNA U6 U6 spliceosomal RNA
GUGCUCACUUCGGCAGCACAUAUACUAAAAAAUUGGAAUGAUACAGAGAUUAGCAUGGCUCCUGCGCAAGGAUGACACGCAAAUUCGUAAAAUAUUUAAUUAAUUA